UACGUAGGCAGCGAGCGUUGUUCGGAAUUACUGGGCGUAAAGAGUGUGUAGGCGGUGCUCUAAGUUCGGUGUGAAAUCUCCUGGCUCAACUGGGAGGGUGCGCCGGAAACUGGAGUGCUUGAGCGUGGGAGAGGAAAGCGGAAUUCCUGGUGUAGCGGUGAAAUGCGUAGAUAUCAGGAGGAACACCUGUGGUGUAGACGGCUUACUGGACCAUGACUGACGCUGAGGCACGAAAGCGUGGGGAGCAAACAGG
rnacentral:rRNA from 1 species